rnacentral:rRNA from 1 species
UUGAACGCUGGCGGCAUGCCUUACACAUGCAAGUCGAACGGCAGCACGGGAGCAAUCCUGGUGGCGAGUGGCGAACGGGUGAGUAAUAUAUCGGAACGUGCCCAGUCGUGGGGGAUAACGUAGCGAAAGCUACGCUAAUACCGCAUACGAUCUACGGAUGAAAGCGGGGGAUCGCAAGACCUCGCGCGAUUGGAGCGGCCGAUAUCAGAUUAGCUAGUUGGUGGGGUAAAAGCCCACCAAGGCGACGAUCUGUAGCUGGUCUGAGAGGACGACCAGCCACACUGGAACUGAGACACGGUCCAGACUCCUACGGGAGGCAGCAGUGGGGAAUUUUGGACAAUGGGCGAAAGCCUGAUCCAGCAAUGCCGCGUGCAGGACGAAGGUCUUCGGGUUGUAAACUGCUUUUGUACGGAACGAAAAAGCUCUUUCUAAUAAAGAGGGCUCAUGACGGUACCGUAAGAAUAAG